GAGUUGUGGAAUUUAAAUCCCAGAGUUCAAAGGAUAAUGGAGGCUGCUUACACUAGUUUUGAGUAUUUAGUCAAACUCACAUUUCCAGUGAACCAUGAUCUUCCUCUUGUUUCUGUACUAAUUGAUUCUUAUAGGGAGAGAGAUAGGGCCUUUGUUUUCCACGAGGAUGAACUUGUUUUUAGUUUGAGGGACGUCCUAGACAUUACCGGCCCCGAAUAUGAGCGUGAAGAUUUGUGCAAGAAGUACUUAGGAAUGAGAGGCAAGAGGGGUCAAAAAGAUUUUGUGAGAAACCCGUGGCUCAAGAACAAGAUGAUGUUGAGGAGAGUAGUGUUGAGAUUUUGCCAUAUGUUUGGGCUUAUGUAUUGUACCUCAUUGGUUCAUUGUUAUUUCUGACAAUACGGGGGUGAAAGGUGUCGGGGAUCUUCCUUCCUCUCUUAGAAGACGUGAAAGAAAUUGGAAAGUAUGCUUGGGGUGCCGCUUUGCUUGCACACUUGCACGUGUGUUUGGAGAAGUCCAAAAAGAGAAACUCAAAUAGUGUCGCCGGACAUGUAUUCACUAUCGCUAAAUAUUUCUUCAUUUUUUUUAAUGUAUUUGUUUAUUUUUGAUUCCAUUUUGACAGUGUUUAUGGUUUUUUGUCCUAGAUAUUUGCAUUGAAACACAUCCCAAGGCUAGGAGAAGUAAAUUUUGGGACUCCAAUUAAAUGUCCUAGUGAUUUUCGGUUAUUGAAGGAUUGGACAUCGCUGUUGUGUCCAAGUGGGAAGAACAACUUCAGGGCAAAACAAAGAAAGACUUUCUCAACACUACUCUCCUCAACAUCAUCUUGUUCCUAAGCUGAGUCUCGCGAAACCUUUUUGACCCCUCUUGCAUCUCAUUCCUAAGUACUUCUUGCACAAAUUUUCACACCCAUAUUCGGGGCCGGUAACAGCCUUGCUCUCUAUUGGUAGGCCAGUAAUGUAUAGGACAUCCCUCAAACUAAAAACAAGUCUUGUGGAAAACAAAGCCCUAUCUCUCUUCCUAUAAGAAUCAAUUAGUACAGAAAUAAGAGGAAGUGGUUCACUAGGAAUGUGAGGUUGACUAAAUGCUCAAAACCAGUGUGAGCAGCCUCCAUUGUCCUUUGAACUCUAAGAUCUACCUUUCACAACUCCAGGUUAUUCAAAUGAUCCAUGACUUUGAUUCCAAUAACAAAAAAACAAAUCAUCGAAACAACCAAACUAUAAAAUACACAAAGCACCAAAAUCUAUUAGACGUGUUCUGUUUAGCAUUGUCAACAUUUACAAUGUUCAUUUUGUCAGCAACCCGAGCACGAACUUUAUUGCAGUGACUAUUUCUCACAUAAACAAAGAUGCUUAAUAAGCAACUUUAUCUAAACCAUGCAAUGUGCUUAAUAGGCAACUUUAUCUGUGUUUGUAGCUUGUGUAUUGCUCCUUUCAAAGCUCUUACAUCUUUUGGCUUGGUUUUAAGCGUCGAUGUAAUCUUAUGUGUUCUCAGGUAAUAAAACUAACCUUUUACCUGGAAAAAUUAAUAAACAGGUACAAAAACCACAAUCUACAAUCUGGUGGUAGUCCAUGGCUGGAAGAACAUGAUCUACGAGGAGAAGAGUUGGGUGGCCAUCAACUCCAGUGUUUUCUUGAUCCGGAAUUGCCAGUGGUCAUUGAAUUCAUGGAGGUUUGGUCAAGCAUGGGGGCAAAAUCCAAAAGGCAACGCUCCCAGACAAGCUCUUCCCAGAAUCCGGCGAUCAGUCAGCCCUGGUUUACCUCCUCCUUAAAGAGAAGGAGAAAUGGGGGAACAAGAUUUAUGUAGCGGGGGAGUAUUACUUCGAAGGGUAUUGGUUAGAAAUUGUGGGGACACUAGACAAUAUAACGGAGAAGUAUGUGGGAUUGAGAAGGAGGUGCUGAGAUUAAGGCGGUGGCAUGCGGAGAAGGUGAGCGAAGGGUAUGCGGAGAUGAUGGAACCAUUCUUAAGGAGGCGGUGCAUGGGCGGUGGAGCUGGCGGCGGCCGUUUAUUACACAUUUUACCGGGUGUCAGCCUUGUAGUGGGAGGCAUAAUCAGAUGUACUCCGGCGAGAGUUGCUGGGAUGGGAUGCAGAGGGCUUUGAAUUUUGACAAUAAUCAUGUGCUUCGUAGUUUUGGUUUCGUGCACCCGGAUUUACUGGAUUCCUCCUCAGUGUCGCCUCUGCCGUUCGAUUUCCCGGCAUGAGAGAUCGUGAUAAGAGGUGCAUUUUGUUUUCUUGCUACUAGUUUGUAAAUCUACUUUAUGCAGUUUUGCUUUAUUACUAAUGAAAUUUGAUUUAUCUAUUUGUCCUAAACUACCUUCUUUACUUUUGUUCUUUUUGUUUAGUUUUGUUUUGUUUGUUUUUGGUUUUUGCAACGGUCAAAAGUUUAGAGUGUACAAUUUGAAAGAUGUCGUAAUACAAAAGUUGAUAAUGACAUUCAGGCCAUGUUUGAUUCGUCAGAUUGGUAUUUAAGGGAUGUAACCUCACUGGCCCUUGUUUUAAGUCCAGAUAAUGUCAAUCAUUGUUCAAACUUCAAUGCACAUCUUUUACAGUUUUACUAUAUUCUUUCUCAUCUUUCUACACACGUUUUGACAGUGGUAAGAUAUAUCUAGCUUAGAAGAUCCCGCAUUGAUAAUUAAGGACAUUUGUAGAGUUUCGAAUACUCCGAACUCUAUUUUUUCCUUUUUUGCUGGCGUCAUAGAGAUUCUUACAACAUCUUAUGUUUUCGAGGCAACUCGUUUGUACUCUACGUGGAGUAGUGUUGACAAAAUGAUAUAACAAGUUUCUGUAGUGUAUUGUUUCAGGGCUAGAUGAACUUAAACUAUUGUGUCAUUAGCUUAGUACAGGGGUCUGUGAAUCUGUAAGCUUAAGUUAGGAGUCAGUUGUCCGAUAUAUUUAAACUAAUGGCAAGUGAACCCAACAAACAAUUUGCAUCAUUUUUUAUCACUCCCCUCAGCAAACAUUUUUUAAUAGCAAAGAAACAUAAUGAGGUAUAAACAGAAAUCACGAGACUUCAAUCCAACUAGAGCUCUGAUGCUAAAACCACACGAUUGUUCCACAUGGGUUAACUCAUCAAGAAGGAAACAGCUUAAUAGUGCAAAUUAAGCUAUUCAACAGGCUAGUCUUGGCUAUAGUUGGCAUUCACUUCGAAGAGUCAACAUUUUGGUAUUGUGGUGUUCCGAUGUUUUGUUUGGAAUUCUAAUUAAAUUACUCUGUUUAUAGCAUUUUAUUCUCUGUAAUUGUUCUUUUGCUUUCUCUUUUCUCCUUUGUCGCUUUACAUGUAAAAGCAACUUAAUGAGUUUACUCUUUUGGGGCUUAGUUAAUGCAUGAUUGAAGGCUAAUUUCACCUAUUUUAUGGGUAUCAUUUUUUAUGCACGGCUGAAGCUUCACGUGUGUAUACACGCACACAUGUGUGGGUAUGUAUAUAUUUGUUUAUUUGGGGGGUGGGGGGAAAUCAAAAGGAAAAGAACGAAAAGAGGUAUAUGUGAACAGAAAAUGGGAGUGUUUUGGGGUUAUCCUAUGUUACCUAGUACCUACAUUACUUUAUUAAGUCCCCUUAAGUUACAUUCUUUUACAUGCCCAAAUUUCCGGAAGAAACUUUGGUUGUUUCUUUUAGUGAGAAGUUGAGAAAACCCUUGGAUGGAACAAAAUAGGUGGUACCAAUAAGAACAGAAGCUUCCCAACUUGUGGUUUCGGGGGACUUCAUGCAUAAAUUUUGUAUUUGCUGUUCCUCAGCAUCUUUGGGAGUUGGCUCAUACUUCUCCUUGUGUUUGCGUCAGUUUCCGGUUUGUGGGUGUGAAUAGGUUGACUAGCUAUCUAAGUAGUCGGUCUCUUUCGUAUCAUCAUAAUGAGGAUCUCCUGCAUUUGAACCCGCUUGAAUUUAGGUCUAAACACAAUCUUUUGAUAGUUCAGUCUGUGAUUAUCGUAUUACUUUUAACUGGAUUUGGCGUUAUGCACAGAUAUUUUAUGCUUCUGGUGUUGCUGUAAAUGGAUUUCCUGCGUUGGCUUAAGGGUGGUGUUCUUGUACUUCAACACCUACAUAGGUUUGUAAGAAAGCCCAGGUUUGCGGGUGCAAGCAAGAAAUGGCAAAAGGUGCACGUGUUCGAGUCCUUUCGAAAAUACUAUAGAACCGCACUAACGGAGGAAUGAGAAAUUUUGUUAGCAAGGGCUGUAGAUUCUCGUGUAAGAUUGUAUUGAUAUGAGCAAAUAUUAUUCCUUGUU